rnacentral:rRNA from 1 species
UUUUAUCAGAGAGUUUGAUCCUGGCUCAGGAUGAACGCUGGCGGCGUGCUUAACACAUGCAAGUCGAACGGGAAACCUUUUAUUGAAGCUUCGGCAGAUUUAGCUGGUUUCUAGUGGCGGACGGGUGAGUAACGCGUGGGUAACCUGCCUUGUACAGGGGGAUAACAGUCAGAAAUGACUGCUAAUACCGCAUAAGCGCACAGGACCGCAUGGUCCG